AAUGCCCCAUCCCUGCUGCCCACGGCCUGGGGGAGGCCGACGGGAGCCACGGGCCGGGCAGUAGGAGCCCGGGCACCUCAGAGACCGGGCCCGAGGAGAGGGAAGACAGAGGAGUUACCCGAUUAUCUGGUUCUACUCUCAUAAAGACACACCGAGGGUGUGGAAGACCAGGCAACAGACCCUUGAGAGAGGAUGUUGGAGGGAUGAGGGCGAGUGGCUCUUACCCCAUGAAGUAGAAGGGACUGCACUGUGUCCUGACCCCACAGCUUUGGGUCAGUCUGAGGGUGUUUGGCUGCUGCUCAGAGCCAGAAGAGACUCCUCUCUGUUUACUCUGUCACCAGGAGAGCUACCUGCGCUCUGAGAUCCACAACUGCCUGGGCUAGCAAAGAAACCAAACUGCUGGCACAGGGCCAACAGCAGUACAGUUAAUAGCUUGGCACAAUGAGAGGAAAUAACGGGUGCAUUAAGCUUGUGACUGAACUCUGAUUAGUUGAGUCCUGACACUUUCAUCUCAUUGCUUUGAAAGAAUGACAUUAUUGUCCAGCCCAGAGAGAACAGUCAUGCCUAAUUUGGGCAGAUUUUGUAAUUGAAGGAGAGACAGGAUAGGAAAAGGGAAAAUUUAAAACAAAGCCCUAAACACAAUGUCCCAAAACUCAAAGGGGGAAAGGUAUACUGGGCAUUUGGGGUUCUUUUUUCUAAACAGUUUUGAGGCAUAAUUGACAAACAAUAAACUUUAUAUUUAAUGUGUACAAUUUGAUAAGUUUUGACAUAUGUAUAUACCUGUGAUAUCAUCACCGCUAUGAAGAUAAAGAACGUAUCCAUCUCCCCAAAAGUGUCCUGUGCCCCUUGGCAACCCCUCCCUCGCCGGAGCUGCUUCUGUCACUAUAGAGAAGCUUAUAUUUUCUGAAAUUUUAUAUAAAUAAAAUCACACAGUAGAUACUCUUUUUCUAUCUCACUCAUUUCACUCAACGUUAUUAUUUUGAGACUCACCUACACUGUUUUAUGUAUCAAUAGUUCAUUCCUUUUCAUUGCAUAAGAGUAUUCCAUUGCAAGCAUA